GCACCGGUGGUGUAGUUGGUCAUCACGUCAGUCUAACAUCAAACAGCACCAACUCCUUGUUCUAAAUAAGGCGUUGACUGUGGUGUUGUGCACUGAAGGUCCUGAGUUCAAGUCUCGGCCGGUGUA